rnacentral:rRNA from 1 species
AGUAAAGUGGCGUACGGGUGAGUAACACGUGGAUCAUCUACCUCUUUGUGGGGAAUAACCAAGGGAAACCGUGGCUAAUACCGCAUAAGCUCGAGAGAGGAAAGUCGAAAGACGCAGAGAGAGGAGUCCGCGGCUGAUUAGCUAGUUGGUAGGGUAAAAGCCUACCAAGGCGAAGAUCGGUAGCCGGCCUGAGAGGGCACACGGCCACACUGGCACUGAAACACGGUCCAG